UACGUAGGGGGCUAGCGUUGUCCGGAAUCAUUGGGCGUAAAGAGCGCGUAGGCGGCCAGAUAAGUCCGGUGUGAAAGUCAAAGGCUCAACCUUUGAAUGCCGCUGGAAACUGUCUGGCUAGAGUCCGGGAGGGGCGAGUGGAAUUCCUGGUGUAGCGGUGAAAUGCGCAGAUAUCAGGAGGAACACCAAUGGCGAAGGCAGCUCGCUGGAACGGUACUGACGCUGAGGCGCGAAAGCGUGGGGAGCGAACCGG
rnacentral:rRNA from 1 species